GAUGAACGCUGACAGAAUGCUUAACACAUGCAAGUCUUUGGCGAAGCUGUGCUUGCACAGCCUAGCCAAGGCGGACGGGUGAGUAACGCGUAAGGAACUUGCCCUGCAGUCAGGGAUAACAGACGGAAACGACUGAUAAGACCUGGUAAAGUCAGGCGGACUCAUGUCCAGCCUGAUGAAAAGAGAUGCUGCAGGAGAGCCUUGCGUCCUAUUAGCUUGUUGGUGGGGUAACGGCCCACCAAGGCGAUGAUAGGUAGCCGGCCUGAGAGGGUGGACGGCCACAAGGGGACUGAGAUACGGCCCUUACUCCUACGGGAGGCGGCAGUGGGGAAUAUUGGAAAAUGGGGGCAACCCUGAUACAGCAAUUCUGUGUGCAAGAUGAAGGUUUUCGGAUUGUAAAGUGCUUGCAGCAGGGAAGAAAAAAAUGACGGUACCUGCAGAAGAAGCGACGGCUAAAUACGUG
rnacentral:rRNA from 1 species